CAUCGCUUACCCAAAAACAACAGAGUGGAGAGAGAAUCAUUACGUAUCAUACAGUCUACCAGAUCAGACCCGAUAAAUGACAAGACCUUGACAAUAUGUUCAAGACACGUUGAGCCGGAUUAUUUCGUUGAAAAAAUGUUUACAAAAAUUCUGGGUCCACAUAUCGAAGAUUAAAAGAAGGGUUAGGGAGACUAUCAACCUUAAUUCUUCUACAGAAAAGCCUAACAACAAAGAAAUUGAAUCCAAGGAAGUCACCGAGUCCAAGGAAAACCGAGGAAACUCAAUGUUUACAUAUGAACGAAGUAACCUUUCAGAUGUUGCAGAAAUCAUUUUUAUGUCAAAUGCCUGCUUUGUGGCUAUGUCAGUCUUCAAGUGAUUAUAUCUAUCUGUUUAAAACUGAAGAUAAAAGUGUAACAUACCAUUUAACCAUAGACAAGGACUUGAAUUGUGAAUUUUUGUUUCCUGUUCAAAUUAAAGUUACAUCUAUAGAUUUACUUAUAAGAACUGUUGAGAAUAUGAAGAUAUGUAGGGGCAUAACAUCAAAACAUUUACAGUCUUAUUCUCAAUGUCAGCCUACAACUGUAAGAUAUAUCAGACAGGUUGAUCUUUUCAUGAACACAAAUAAGUCAACAUUUAAAUUACGAAAUCUGUGUACUUGCUUCUGUAUGUAAUAGUUUUCUUGAGGACACUCAAAUCGAAAUUUGUUUAAG